rnacentral:rRNA from 1 species
GAACUGAAGAGUUUGAUCAUGGCUCAGAUUGAACGCUGGCGGCAGGCCUAACACAUGCAAGUCGAGCGGAUGAAGGGAGCUUGCUCCUGGAUUCAGCGGCGGACGGGUGAGUAAUGCCUAGGAAUCUGCCUGGUAGUGGGGGAUAACGUCCGGAAACGGGCGCUAAUACCGCAUACGUCCUGAGGGAGAAAGUGGGGGAUCUUCGGACCUCACGCUAUCAGAUGAGCCUAGGUCGGAUUAGCUAGUUGGUGGGGUAAAGGCCUACCAAGGCGACGAUCCGUAACUGGUCUGAGAGGAUGAUCAGUCACACUGGAACUGAGACACGGUCCAGACUCCUACGGGAGGCAGCAGUGGGGAAUAUUGGACAAUGGGCGAAAGCCUGAUCCAGCCAUGCCGCGUGUGUGAAGAAGGUCUUCGGAUUGUAAAGCACUUUAAGUUGGGAGGAAGGGCAGUAAGUUAAUACCUUGCUGUUUUGACGUUACCAACAGAAUAAGCACCGGCUAACUUCGUGCCAGCAGCCGCGGUAAUACGAAGGGUGCAAGCGUUAAUCGGAAUUACUGGGCGUAAAGCGCGCGUAGGUGGUUCAGCAA